AUCCUAUCAAAACAUCAUGAUUCUUAACUAGGUCAGCUUUGAUCUUCGCUCCGGUUUUUAAAACCAUCCUGUCAGUUUCAGGUUUUGGCUUGUCAAGCCAUGCUUUACCAGCAGUAUUAACUAUAGUAUCUUCCCUCUGAUAAUCGCGGGUUCCAUAUUGCUGAACGACUUCAGGCUUUGAAAUUGGAGGAUUCUUCUUUGUAUGCAGAUCACUGACAACGGUGUGCUGGGGGGGUUUUGGCAGCUCUUGCCAUCUUGCAAUUGCUCUGCACGGACGAUCCAGUUCACGUUCUGGC
rnacentral:lncRNA from 1 species